rnacentral:rRNA from 1 species
UACGUAGGGGGCAAGCGUUGUCCGGAUUUAUUGGGCGUAAAGCGCGCGCAGGCGGUCUACCAAGUUCGGAGUGACAGUUUCCGGCUUAACCGGAAAAGGUCUUCGAAAACUGGUGGACUUGAGGACUUGAGGGGGAGACGGAAUUCCGGGUGGAGCGGUGAAAUGCGUAGAUAUCGGUAGGAACACCAGUGGCGAAGGCGGUCUCCUGGGGCAUUCUUGACGCUGAGGCGCGAAAGCUGGGGGAGCAAACGGG